GCCUUCUGUAAUUAAUAGGAGGUCCAGCCUGCCCAGUGAUAAACUUAAACGGCCGCGGUAUUCUGACCGUGCAAAGGUAGCAUAAUCACUUGUUCUUUAAAUCAGGACUAGUAUGAAUGGCAUCACGAGGGCUUUCCUGUCUCCCCCCUUUAAUCAAUGAAACUAAUCCCCCCGUGAAGAGGCGGGGAUAAGCCCAUAAGACGAGAAGACCCCAUGGAGCUUUAAACAAGUAUCGCUUGCACCACCCAACAUCCUUCAAACUCAGCAAGCCCGUCCUACUAGUUUUUGGUUGGGGUGACCGCGGAGUAAAAUAAAACCUCCACGAUGAAAGAGAUAACCCUAAUUAAAGAGCCACAACUCGUAAGAAUCAAUAUAUUGACUUUAAUUGACCCAACACCUUGAACAACGAACCAAGUUACCCUGGGGGUAACAGCGCAAUCCAUUCCAAGAGUCCAUAUCGACAAAUGGGUUUACGACCUCGAUGUUGGAUCAGGGUAUCCUGGUGGUGCAGCC
rnacentral:rRNA from 1 species